GGGUAGGUAGCGAAGUGGUUAAACGCAACAGACUGUAAAUCUGUCGACAAAUGUCUUCGGAGGUUCGAAUCCUUCCCUACCCA
rnacentral:tRNA from 1 species